AUACUUACCUGACAGGGGAGAUACCAUGAUCACGAAGAUGGUUUACCCAGGAUGAGGCUUAUCCUUUGUACUGUAGUUGUGCUGAACCCUGUGAUUUCCCCAAAUGUGGGAAACUUGACUGCAUAUUUUAUUGUAAUGGGGAACUGCAUUCAUGCUUUCCCCUU
ensembl:snRNA U1 U1 spliceosomal RNA